GUUAUCCGGAAUCAUUGGGCGUAAAGCGCCUGUAGGUUGUUUAAUAAGUCCGUUGUUAAAGACUAGGGCUUAACCCUAGGAAAGCGAUGGAAACUGAUAGACUUGAGUAUGGCAGGGGUAGAGGGAAUUUCUAGUGUAGCGGUGAGAUGCGUAGAUAUUAGAAAGAACACCGGUGGCGAAAGCGCUCUACUGGACCAUUACUGACACUGAGAGGCGAAAGCUAGGGGAGCGAAAGGGAUUAGAUACCCCUGUAGUCCUAGCCGUAAACGAUGGAUACUAGAUGUUGUGCAAUUUGGACAGUAUCGUAGCUAACGCGUUAAGUAUCCCGCCUGGGGAGUACGCUCGCAAGGGUGAAACUCAAAGGAAUUGACGGGGGCCCGCACAAGCGGUGGAGCAUGUGGUUUAAUUCGAUGCAACGCGAAGAACCUUACCAGGGCUUGACAUACUACAGAUCUUUUUGAGAAAGAAGAGUGCCUUCGGGAAUGUAGAUACAGGUGGUGCAUGGCUGUCGUCAGCUCGUGUCGUGAGAUGUUGGGUUAAGUCCCGCAACGAGCGCAACCCUCGUUUUUAGUUGCCAAUUUAUUGGGAUCUCUAGAAAGACUGCCGGUGACAAACCCGGAGGAAGGUGAGGAUGACGUCAAGUCAGCAUGCCCCUUAUGUCCUGGGCCACACACGUGCUACAAUGGUAAAGACAAAGAGUUGCGAGCUCGCGAGAGUCAGCUAAUCUCA
rnacentral:rRNA from 1 species